rnacentral:rRNA from 1 species
GGGAUAAUCACUGGAAACGGUGACUAAUACCGCAUAAUAUUCUUGGAAGGCAUCUUCCGAGAAGGAAAGGAAAUACUCGGUAAAAGAUGGGCCCGCAUCUGAUUAGCUAGUUGGUGAGAUAACAGCCCACCAAGGCGACGAUCAGUAGCCGACCUGAGAGGGUGACCGGCCACAUUGGGACUGAGACACGGCCCAAACUCCUACGGGAGGCAGCAGUGGGGAAUAUUGCACAAUGGGGGGAACCCUGAUGCAGCAACGCCGCGUGAAGGAAGACGGUUUUCGGAUUGUAAACUUCUAUCAAUAGGGAAGAAAGAAAUGACGGUACCUAAAUAAGAAGCCCCGGCUAACUACGUGCCAGCAGCCGCGGUAAUACGUAGGGGGCAAGCGUUAUCCGGAAUUACUGGGUGUAAAGGGAGAGUAGGCGGCAAGGUAAGCGAUAUGUGAAAGCCUUAGGCUUAACCUGAGGAUUGCAUAACGAACUAUCUAGCUUGAGUACAGGAGAGGAAAGCGGAAUUCCUAGUGUAGCGGUGAAAUGCGUAGAUAUUGGGAAGAACACCAGUGGCGAAGGCGGCUUUCUGGACUGAAACUGACGCUGAGGCUCGAAAGCGUGGGGAGCGAACAGGAUUAGAUACCCUGGUAGUCCACGCUGUAAAC